rnacentral:lncRNA from 1 species
GUUACUAGAUGAAGUGAAUGAAGAGAGAGAGAGGACAGCAGCCAAUACAAACACAAACCAGUUUAUAGUGGUUCGGAGCUAAUCCUUGCUCCUACGUCCACUCCCCAAGCUUCACUUGGGAGUUCACUAUAAUCUCUUGGAUUACAGCCGGUUGUUUUACAAGUUCACAACCCAACUUGUUGUUUUCGCGAGAUCACAACGAACUCGGGCGGUUUUCAUAGGCUCACCGACUAGAACCACCCAAUUGUUUUUCCAGGAUCACAAUCAAACCCUUACACCGUUGGUUUUAACUUCGGCUCACCAACUAACCUUACAACCCUUGAUUCAAUCUCCUGAUUGAAUCAAGUAAAAAAAAGUGUUUGGGAUUUCACUUAGAAAGCUUCUAAACAAGCAGAUGUGAUAAACAAUAAAUGCAAAGUAAAGGUUAGAAGCCCUCAAACA